GUUUGGGGAGGCACAGUUGAUCAGCAAGCAUGAAGACGGAGCAUCUUUGUGUUCUGCUGAUCCACAGAGACAGAUGACUGAGGUCUUUUGGCUGUUUGACAGCGGACUGCCAUAAUGAAGGUGGGCGUCUUUGCUCUGUUGGUGCUGCUGCUUUUGUUUUGGAUUCAAGGUGGGGAACAGUUGGAAUUGUCACCUGAAAAGCUAACCGUCCUCCGUGGAGAGGAGGCCCGGCUGACCUGCAGCACCUCCGGCACCAGGUGGACUGCUAUGGUGUGGCUGCUCAAUGGUAUCACUGUUCUCACUAUCUCCAAGGAGCAUGGUCUCCUGCCACCCAUCAAUCCAAAUGUGACUGCAGUGAAAAAUCAAGUUUCCUCGGGAGACAGCUGGGAUUUUAUCCUGAAACAUACAGAGAGGCACAACCAGGGACAAGUGACAUGUGACCUCCAGAGCAUUGAUAGGAAAACAGCCAGCCUGUUUG